GACGAACGCUGGCGGCGCGCUUAACACAUGCAAGUCGAGCGAGAACCAGGACUUCGGUCCUGGGGACAGCGGCGAACGGGUGAGUAACACGUGGAUAACCUGCCCUCGGCACCGGGAUAGCCCGAGGAAACUCGGAUUAAUACCGGAUAGCCCUUCCGACUCUCGAGUCGGUCCGAAAAGGUAGCUUCGGCCUCUGGCCGAGGAUGGGUCCGCGGCGGAUUAGCUUGUUGGUGGGGUAACGGCCUACCAAGGCAUCGAUCCGUAGCUGGUCUGAGAGGACGAUCAGCCACACUGGGACUGAGACACGGCCCAGACUCCUACGGGAGGCAGCAGUGGGGAAUCUUGCGCAAUGGGCGAAAGCCUGACGCAGCGACGCCGCGUGAGGGAAGAAGGCCUCGGUUGUAACUACUU
rnacentral:rRNA from 1 species